ensembl:lncRNA
CCGGCCACCACCACAGGGCAUUCAACUUUAUACAACUCUUUCCAAAGAUGCUCCAACAACCGCAACGUCAAAUGAACUCGUUUUUAUGACUGUGCAAUAUGUGGCACAUCCCAAAAAACCAAAGCCGAGCCGAGCGCAUGUUGUGAAUGGAGAGAGAGAGAAGCGCCUUACCUCCGUGAAGAAAUUAUCCAUCGCCUCGUUAUUACUGUAAUCCCAGGGGAUUGAGAGUCCACUCAGAGCCACUCAUGUGUCGUUAGUGUCAAUCCACAAAAGUUACGGCAGUUUAGUCCGAAGCCACGGCAGGAGCAGUGCACGUACAGUUGACGCACGGCGAGCGAUCGAUCAAGCUACAGUGAGCGCUUAUAUGCCUUUUGUUUAACGGGCUGCUGCUUCUUCUUCUUCUUCUUCUGCCCCCUCUGCACACUGAAAAGGAAACAGUUCCAAAUCCAAAGAGCGUCCUGGCCCUCGCCGUGUCCUUCCUCGGCCCUCCCGUGGCGCGCUCCUGCUCAACUUUGCUUUAGUGUUCCGAAACUUUCCGGUGAUGUUUUGGGGGAGAGAAACGUGCCGCACUCGCCAGUCUGAGGAGAGAGACCGGUGUGGAGCAGGAGGCAGGCUGCAGCAGCGCUCAGAGGGCCAGAAAUCCAAAAUGGGAGGCAAGCUCAGCAAAAAGAAGAAGGGCUAUAGCGUGAACGACGAGAAGUCCAAAGACAAGGACGCCAAAGCUGAGGGCGCCGCAGCCGAGGAGAGCGAAGCGCCCAAAGACGCCAAGGAGGAGAGCGCUGCUGACGACGCUAAAGAUGUAGCAGCUAACGACACGGCAGCUAAAGAUGCCCCGGCCGCGGACGGCGCGGCCGCUAAAGCCGAGGAAAGAAAGAGGAGGCCAAACCCGCCGAGCCCGCUAAAGCCGAGGAGAAACCUGCCGCUAAAGCCGAGGAGAAACCGGCCGCCAAGGAGCCCGAAGCCAAGGCAGCGCCACCUGCAGCGGCGGAGGUCAAAGACGAGGCCAAAAAGACUGAGGCCCCCGCGGCGCCAGCGGCCAAAGCUGACCCCAAGCCCACAGAGGCAGCAGCAGCACCAGCUAGCGCGCCGGCUAACGCUAAAGAGGCUAACGCUAGCUCCACACCAGCCGCCGAGCCGCCCGCCAAGGAGGCCAACGCCACAGAGGCACCGAGCAAGGAUCAAACCGUAGCAGUUCAAGAUUAAUGGACAGCUCUUUUUGGGAAAAUUUAAGUCAACAAUGAAAUGUCAAAUAAAAAAAAUAUGAAGAUGAUUAACUAGCCCAUGCAUAUUGAUGAUGAUAUUAACAAUAAUAAUAAUACCGGUUGUAUGGACGAGCGGAGAGAACUGGACUAAAAGAGGCCACCUGGCGGAGAAGCCCACGCGCUGCAGACGUGACUAUUAUUAUUAUUGUUAGGAUUUACUUAUUUUUCUGAUGUAGUAUUUGAACUUUGGUACGAGUCUGUUAUGAACUUUUACUUUUUUCCAUUUCCAUCCAUUGCCUCCCCUCCCAAGAAAAAGGAAAAAAAAAAAUCCCCCAAAUCACAAUGAACAUAAUAUUUUCUGGAUUUUAAUAACAUGAAAUUUAAAUUUAAUUACAAUAAUGAUAGUGAACACUUUUAUUUAUUAAAUAUAUAUUUUAAAUGUUGCAAAGCUAAGCAAAACAGUGAUAUUUCUAUGAAUUGUGAAAGCAUGCAAAAAACGUUUAUUCCCACGUUUAUUUUGAUGACAAUGUUUGCUAACUAUGUUACUCUUAUAAUGAUGCCGGUGCGUUCUGACAGAAUACGUUUACACACAUUUUUAUUCCAUUCUGUAACAAAUUUGGGAGAUUUUGCAAAUUCGUAUGCAAUAUGCAACAUUUUCUUUAUGGCUACGCGUCGGACGUUAUUUCAUCAGAGAGAUUUCAUCAGACUUUUUUUUUUUGUUCGGGUCAAAAUACUCCUCCACUUUACCAGCAGUAUUCAUAAUCUUCGUUUUAUAAUCUUCAAAAAUUAAGAAAUUCUCAAAAACAAGAAAGACACUUUUGGCACUAAACCAAAUGUAGACCAAUAAAUCAAAGGUAGAUUUUUCGAAAUAGAUUUUUUAUGAAAACAUUAAAGUAGAUUUUUAAUAUUUGUAAUUCAAUCUGCAAAUCUGUUAAGUCUUUUACACACACACAAAAAAAUGAAAGAUUUUUUAAGUAGAUCUUUUAACAUUUACCUAGAAUUUAACUUUGCACAUUAGUUCUAAAGAAAUCCUUAAAAUCUGUAAAUUUAGCACACGUUUUGGAGAUAACUGUGUGUCAAAUAGCCCGUAAAAAUUGCCAAGGGGAUUAUUUGAACAAUGUACUACCCAGAAUUGUCGGGUCUUUGUGAUGUCCAGCUACAUUCCGCAUCACAAUGGCCCCUUUAUUUGAGAGAAACUCGACGAAUCUGAAAGAAUUCCCUCAUUCUGUCAUCAUUUUUCAUGCCCCUGUCUCCCUCCCUCGCCCCACUGAAGCACAUAUGGACUGCGCACGUAGGCGGCCGCGAUGCAACGUCGAAACGCCAUGGCAUUCUAUAGGCUGAUAAUGGCAUCUAUUCAACCGAUGCCUUCCAAAUGUUCUCUCUUAAUUUGCAUAACUUCACUUCCAACCUGGAAAGUCCCAUUAAGAUUCAGAAUCCAAUUUGCGCUCUACUUCACAUGUUUUUGAUAGCAGGGGAAGGUUUUUGGCUAACUUCCUGUUGGCCAGUGUAGGCUAACUACUACUUCCUGUCAACAUUUAAAUUUGAAAUAAAAUAAGAUAAAAAGAACAGAAGCAAACAUCAAGCAGAGUUUGUUUAAAAAAAUAAAAAAAGACUAAUAAAUAAACUUUUGAGCCACAAAUUAGCGUUAGCCAUUAGCUUCAACACUAAAACAGCUACAGUUAUUAACACAGAAGUCUCCUGCGGUGAAGUAUUUACAUCCUGUGUAAAGUUUAAAACACUUUGUAAGUAAUUCGUCAGCAGCUGCAUGUUUUCUGUUUUGAUAUUUAUUUAUUUCAAGAUGACGCGGCUAACUCUCCAUUGGAAUAAGGUAAUAAUAACGCUACUGUCUUCUACCCAAAUGCAGUUGUUUUGAGUUACAUAAAGCUCGUCGCCUAUUGAUCAGUCUCUAUGUACCCGUGUCCUGACCACUCCCCCACUCCACUACCGCCCUCCUCAGUUAUAUCCCGGCACACACGGCGUCCUCGCGGCAGAAUCCGUAGCAGUUCAAAAACCCUGUGCCAAAACCCAGCGCCGCGUGUCCCGGGAGCGCCGUCCGUCCUGACUCGGUCAAAUUUGCAUGUCUGUGGUUGGGUGAAUCUGUAGUCCUGUCUUUUUUGGUCCCAGUGGAAACAAUUCAGAAAUCCGAUCCGAUAUAAAAAAGUGUGUGUUCGGUGGGAGUGUAUCCGUGGCUGUCCUCAAGGAUAUGUUCUUGUCCCUGCACACUUCAUGGGCACGGUGCUCAUCAACCAAACCAGUCAAAGUGAAAUCAACAUUUGGACAUUGUAUGUACUUGUAAAAAAAAUGGUGCAACAAUAAAACCACAACAAUUGACUCCAAACACUCUUCAU